CCUACGGGAGGCAGCAGUGGGGAAUUUUGGACAAUGGGCGCAAGCCUGAUCCAGCCAUGCCGCGUGCAGGAUGAAGGCCUUCGGGUUGUAAACUGCUUUUGUACGGAACGAAAAGGCUCUUUCUAAUAAAGAGGGCUCAUGACGGUACCGUAAGAAUAAGCACCGGCUAACUACGUGCCAGCAGCCGCGGUAAUACGUAGGGUGCGAGCGUUAAUCGGAAUUACUGGGCGUAAAGCGUGCGCAGGCGGUGAUGUAAGACAGUUGUGAAAUCCCCGGGCUCAACCUGGGAACUGCAUCUGUGACUGCAUUGCUGGAGUGCGGCAGAGGGGGAUGGAAUUCCGCGUGUAGCAGUGAAAUGCGUAGAUAUGCGGAGGAACACCGAUGGCGAAGGCAAUCCCCUGGGCCUGCACUGACGCUCAUGCACGAAAGCGUGGGGAGCA
rnacentral:rRNA from 1 species